CACUAUUGCAUUGUCUGUUGAUUGUCCAAUAGCGAUACAGGUGGCUGGUAUCAUCAUUGCGUUGAAGUUGGCGGUUGGGUGAAAUUUGGCUCCUUAAUUUCCGAAACUUUAGGAGUCUUUCUCUAGCAUCUAAACUUGCAGGUAACUUAUAUCUCGAGUUUACAAAAUGGAUCCAAACAGGCCACCAAUGACAGGCCUUCCCUGGCGUGGGCGCGGUAUAGAAACCGGUGUAGGACGAACCAGAGGUUUUAUCACUCCUUUUGAUAACUCACAAAGUCAAAGACUCGGUAUCACCUCUGCUGGACGGGGGAGAGGGCUGCAGCCUGAUGAUGGAGGGCUUGGUCGAGCAAGAGGGUGGCUCUCUUCUGCAACAGAACCAACAGUAGGAGCAUCAAGAAGCACAAUCCUUCCUAGUAGAGAGCCACUCCAUGCAGAAACACCCACUCAUGCCACGAUGGAGCAAGCCCUUACACAAGAAGACCUGGCUAGAAAAGAGGUUGAUUUCCCUACACAUGAUCAAGGCUCUACACUGGUGUCCAUGAUAAGAGGAAUUGGCUUAGAAGGCUCAAUGGCCUCAUGGGGAAGAGGAACAUUACCCAUAGGAAGAGGAGCAGCUGGUGAAAAGGAAGAGUUAAAGAAGCCAAGUGCUGCAGGUGUGGCUUCCAGUAGACAAGAGAUCAGUGGCCACAUACAAGGAGUCAUUGGCAGGGGGCGCAGCUUUCUUGGCCAAGAAAUCCCCAAAAUGAUGGUGGGGCUCGGAAGAGCAGCAAUGCCCCCUCCGGGAACGGCACGAGGAUUUCCUUUAUUUCCUCCACCAUUACCCCACGAUAUCGGUUCUCGUACCUCUGAACCUGCCGUAUAUGUUCACCCUCAGAUUGCUGACGCAGCGUCCACUGCUGAAGACCUACUAGACCCUAUUGUACCAGAAAAGAAAGCAAUGGAAAUGGAAACGGAAACAGUCCGUACACCGCUCAACAAGGCCGGAUCCAAAGGAAAUCCUGUAAUAAUUGGCUCCAACUACAUUUCCAUUCACUGCAAGAACAAAGCUGUCUAUCAGUACCAUGUGAAAUUUAUACCAAAUAUUGAAUCCAUGUCGAUGCGUUUUGGCAUGAUGAAAGAUCACCAAUCGACCAUCGGAGCUGUCAUGGCAUUUGAUGGCUCAAUACUCUACCUUCCUCUGAAACUCAAGGAUGAGGUGGUUCUCAAGAGUGUCAGACGAACUGACAAUGAGGAAAUCCAAAUAAAAAUUCAGAUGACAAAGAUUUUGCCACCCAACUCUGAUCAAUGCAUUCCUCUGUACAAUGUUGUACUCAGGAGGGUCAUGAAAAUACUUGGACUGAAGCUAGUAGGGAGGAAUCAUUAUGAUCCAGAAAGUGCUGUACUUCUUGGAAAACAUCGCCUGCAGGUGUGGCCAGGCUAUUCAACAAGUAUCAAACAAACAGAUGGAGGCCUGCAUCUGUGUGUGGAUGUGUCUCACAAAGUCUUGCGUAAUGACUCUGUGCUGAAUGUCAUGAACAUUCUAUACCAACAAAGUAAAGAGAAAUUCAGAGAUGAAUGUACCAAAGAACUCGUGGGUAGCAUCAUCAUCACCCGAUACAACAACCGCACCUAUCGCAUUGAUGCCAUCGAGUGGGACAAGUCACCCAAAGACACCUUCACCCUGAUGGAUGGCACAAAAACUACAUUUGUGGACUACUACCGCAAGAACUAUGGGAUUACUAUCAAAGAGCUGGACCAACCUCUUCUCAUGCAUCAUCCAAAGGAGCGGUCUAAACCAGGCGGAAAGCAAGUCAUUACUGGAGAGAUCCUCAUAGUCCCAGAACUUUCCUACAUGACCGGGAUCCCAGAAAACAUGAGGAAAGAUUUCAGAGUGAUGAAGGACCUGACCAUGCACAUCAAUGUAAAUGGUGAGCAGCACACUCAAUCAAUAAAGCAACUUCUGAAAAACAUUAGCACCAACCCUGAGAGUCAGAAGGAAGUCACCCAAUGGGGCUUGGAAUUUGUCUCAGAAAUUCUUCUGGUGAAAGGUAGAACUCUUCCCCUUGAAACAAUCUGUGUUCAGAGUUCAUCAUUUACCAGUGGAGCUGAUGGGUCUUUUUCCAGAGACGUCGUCAGGUUAGCCUCCAUCAGCUCUAUACCGCUGAAAAUGUGGGCCAUCUUCUACCCUCGUCGCUGUGCAGAACAGGCUGAAGAGUUGAUUGUGACCUUCAAAAAGGUGGGUGGACCUCUUGGGGUGCAAGUGGAUCGUCCAAUGUGUGUGGAGCUGAGGGAUGAUCGUACAGAAACCUAUGUCAAGAGCAUCCACUCCCAGCUCAGUAGUGAGCCUAAUUUGCAGCUUGUAGUGUGCAUCCUGGUAGGGAACAGAAAUGAUCUCUACAGUGCCAUCAAGAAGCUUUGCUGUGUUCAAAGUCCCAUACCAUCACAGGCCAUCAAUAUCCGGACAAUUUCCCAACAACAGAAGUUGAGAAGUGUCGCUCAAAAGAUUCUCCUGCAGAUAAACUGCAAAGUAGGAGGAGAACUAUGGACUGUUAAUGUCCCCUUGAAAAACCUAAUGGUGGUGGGAGUUGACGUCCAUCAUGACACCAGCAAGGCUCGCCAAUCUGUCAUGGGAUUUGUUGCAAGCAUCAACAGUGCACUGACUCGCUGGUACUCCAGAGUAACUUUUCAGACACCCAAUGAUGAACUCAUCACUGGCUUCACUGUUUGCUUAUUGGCUGCACUGCACAAGUACCAUGAGGUGAACCACAACCUGCCGGAAAGGAUUGUAGUGUAUCGGGAUGGCGUGUCUGAUGGACAGCUCAAGAUGGUUGAGCAAUUUGAAAUCCCACAGCUAAUCAAAUGCUUUGAGAGAUUCCCCAGCUAUGAACCAAAGCUUGUCUUCAUUGUUGUUCAAAAGCGAAUCAACACUACCCUAUAUUCAUGGGUUGAUAACACCUUUGGCAUACCUUCACCUGGAACUGUUUUGGAUCACACGCUCACUCACAACGAAUGGGUGGACUUCUAUCUGAUGGCGCAUCAUAUUCGUCAGGGUUGUGGCUUGCCUACGCACUACAUUACUCUGUACAACACUGCAAACCUCUUGCCAGACCAUCUGCAAAGGCUGACCUUCAAGAUGUGCCAUUUGUACUGGAACUGGCCGGGCACUAUCCGUGUUCCAGCACCGUGCAAAUACGCACACAGACUGGCUUACCUGUCAGGCCAGUACCUGCAUUCUGAACCAGCCAUCCAGCUGGCUGACAAGCUAUUUUUUCUCUGAAUAAAAGCACAUUUGUGCUUUAGGCUUUAAACAUGAGUACUCUUCUACUCCGUUGAUGGGUUGGUUUCUUUGUUUUUUAGAUUUGAUGGUGGUCUUCUUUGUUUUGUAGAUUUGAUUAUGGUCUUAGUAAAUAGUUUUGUUGUUCUUAUACUGUAUGUUCAAAACAAAUGUCUUACCCUGUAAUAAUAAACCAAAUACUAUUGUGUUCUGUUUAUCUGGUAGUAUAAACUAUUGUUGAGUGUGCUGUAAUUAAAGAAGGUUUUUUAAAAAAAA